CCUACGGGAGGCAGCAGUGAGGAAUAUUGGACAAUGGGCGCAAGCCUGAUCCAGCCAUGCCGCGUGCAGGAUGACGGUCCUAUGGAUUGUAAACUGCUUUUGUACAGGAAGAAACAGUUCUACGUGUAGAACCUUGACGGUACUGUAAGAAUAAGGAUCGGCUAACUCCGUGCCAGCAGCCGCGGUAAUACGGAGGAUCCAAGCGUUAUCCGGAAUCAUUGGGUUUAAAGGGUCCGUAGGCGGUUUAGUAAGUCAGUGGUGAAAGCCCAUCGCUCAACGGUGGAACGGCCAUUGAUACUGCUAAACUUGAAUUAUUAGGAAGUAACUAGAAUAUGUAGUGUAGCGGUGAAAUGCUUAGAGAUUACAUGGAAUACCAAUUGCGAAGGCAGGUUACUACUAAUGGAUUGACGCUGAUGGACGAAAGCGUGGGUAGCGAACAGGAUUAGAUACCCUGGUAGUCCACGCCGUAAACGAUGGAUACUAGCUGUUGGAAGCAAUUUCAGUGGCUAAGCGAAAGUGAUAAGUAUCCACCUGGGGAGUACGUUCGCAAGAAUGAAACUCAAAUGAAUUGACGG
rnacentral:rRNA from 1 species